AGAGACUCUCCCUGAAGAAUCAAGUCAGAGGGUUGCUCCUGCUCCCACAACCCUAUGGGAUCUCAUCAUUGCUUCAGUUGUCAGAUAAGAGGUCUACCUGCUGCCUUGCUCCCUGACAUGAUGGUCAUGGACUCCCCCUUUGAAACUACAAGCAAGCCCUCAAUUAAAUGCCUUCAUUUCUGA